rnacentral:rRNA from 1 species
UACGGAGGGGGCUAGCGUUGUUCGGAAUUACUGGGCGUAAAGCGCACGUAGGCGGCUUUGUAAGUUAGAGGUGAAAGCCCGGGGCUCAACUCCGGAAUUGCCUUUAAGACUGCAUCGCUAGAAUUGUGGAGAGGUAAGUGGAAUUCCGAGUGUAGAGGUGAAAUUCGUAGAUAUUCGGAAGAACACCAGUGGCGAAGGCGACUUACUGGACACAUAUUGACGCUCAGGCGCGACAGCGUGGGGAUCAAACAGG